UACGUAGGUGGCGAGCGUUGUUCGGAUUUACUGGGCGUAAAGGGCGCGCAGGCGGCUCAUUUUGUCAGGCGUGAAAGCCCCGGGCUUAACCUGGGAACUGCGUUUGAUACGGAUGGGCUAGAGUUCGGGAGAGGAGAGUGGAAUUCCCAGUGUAGAGGUGAAAUUCGUAGAUAUUGGGAAGAACACCGGUGGCGAAGGCGGCUCUCUGGACCGAGACUGACGCUGAGGCGCGAAAGCGUGGGGAGCAAACAGG
rnacentral:rRNA from 1 species